CUACGUGGAACAGAUUGAUGUAUGACCAGACAGAGAGAACGAACAAGAGGAAAGAAAGUUCAUUUAAGUGGAGAAAGAUAUAAGAAGAUGUACUGUCCAUUCUGUGGUUCCAGCGUGACAUCUUCGCAUGGCUUUUGUGGUGUCUGUGGCAGAGACAUCACAUUUCUAAAAGAUGUGACUAACAAAGUCCCUGAGGAGAUGCCCACCACUAGUGCGCAUCUAAGUGCACAGCCUAGCACCAGUGCAGCAGGAAGCUCAGCUGUAGAGUCCUUUCAGAAAUAUAGGGAAAUAAAAAAGAGGGAGAGACCUUUUUUACAAAGGGACGGCAUAACUCCAAAAAUAAACAGAAAUUGGUGAAG